rnacentral:rRNA from 1 species
AGCGAACGCUGGCGGCAGGCCUAACACAUGCAAGUCGAGCGCCCCGCAAGGGGAGCGGCAGACGGGAGAGUAACACGUGGGAACGUGCCCUUGGUUCGGAACAACCCAGGGAAACUUGGGCUAAUACCGGAUAAGCCCUCACGGGGAAAGAUUUAUCGCCGAAGGAUCGGCCCGCGUCUGAUUAGCUAGUUGGUGGGGUAAUGGCCCACCAAGGCUACGAUCAGUAGCUGGUCUGAGAGGAUGAUCAGCCUCACUGGGACUGAGACACGGCCCAGACUCCUACGGGAGGCAGCAGUGGGGAAUAUUGGACAAUGGGCGCAAGCCUGAUCCAGCCAUGCCGCGUGGGUGAUGAAGGCCCUAGGGUUGUAAAGCCCUUUCGGCGGGGAAGAUAAUGACGGUACCCGCAGAAGAAGCCCCGGCUAACUUCGUGCCAGCAGCCGCCGUAA